GGGUUGUGAGGUUAAGCGACUAAGCGUACACGGUGGAUGCCCUGGCAGUCAGAGGCGAUGAAGGACGUGCUAAUCUGCGAAAAGCGUCGGUAAGGUGAUAUGAACCGUUAUAACCGGCGAUGUCCGAAUGGGGAAACCCAGUGUGAUUCGUCACACUAUCGUUAACUGAAUACAUAGGUUAACGAGGCGAACCGGGGGAACUGAAACAUCUAAGUACCCCGAGGAAAAGAAAUCAACCGAGAUUCCCCCAGUAGCGGCGAGCGAACGGGGAGCAGCCCAGAGUCUGAAUCAGCUUGUGUGUUAGUGGAACGGUCUGGAAAGUCCGACGGUACAGGGUGAUAGUCCCGUACACCAAAAUGCACAGGCUGUGAACUCGAAGAGUAGGGCGGGACACGUGGUAUCCUGUCUGAAUAUGGGGGGACCAUCCUCCAAGGCUAAAUACUCCUGACUGACCGAUAGUGAACCAGUACCGUGAGGGAAAGGCGAAAAGAACCCCGGCGAGGGGAGUGAAAAAGAACCUGAAACCGUGUACGUACAAGCAGUGGGAGCACCUUCGGGUGUGACUGCGUACCUUUUGUAUAAUGGGUCAGCGACUUAUAUUCUGUAGCAAGGUUAACCGUAUAGGGGAGCCGCAGGGAAACCGAGUCUUAACUGGGCGUUAAGUUGCAGGGUAUAGACCCGAAACCCGGUGAUCUAGCCAUGGGCAGGUUGAAGGUUGGGUAACACUAACUGGAGGACCGAACCGACUAAUGUUGAAAAAUUAGCGGAUGACUUGUGGCUGGGGGUGAAAGGCCAAUCAAACCGGGAGAUAGCUGGUUCUCCCCGAAAGCUAUUUAGGUAGCGCCUCGUGAAUUCAUCUUCGGGGGUAGAGCACUGUUUCGGCUAGGGGGUCAUCCCGACUUACCAACCCGAUGCAAACUACGAAUACCGAAGAAUGUUAUCACGGGAGACACACGGCGGGUGCUAACGUCCGUCGUGAAGAGGGAAACAACCCAGACCGCCAGCUAAGGUCCCAAAGUCAUGGUUAAGUGGGAAACGAUGUGGGAAGGCACAGACAGCCAGGAUGUUGGCUUAGAAGCAGCCAUCAUUUAAAGAAAGCGUAAUAGCUCACUGGUCGAGUCGGCCUGCGCGGAAGAUGUAACGGGGCUAAACCAUGCACCGAAGCUGCGGCAGCGACACUAUGUGUUGUUGGGUAGGGGAGCGUUCUGUAAGCCUGCGAAGGUGUGCUGUGAGGCAUGCUGGAGGUAUCAGAAGUGCGAAUGCUGACAUAAGUAACGAUAAAGCGGGUGAAAAGCCCGCUCGCCGGAAGACCAAGGGUUCCUGUCCAACGUUAAUCGGGGCAGGGUGAGUCGACCCCUAAGGCGAGGCCGAAAGGCGUAGUCGAUGGGAAACAGGUUAAUAUUCCUGUACUUGGUGUUACUGCGAAGGGGGGACGGAGAAGGCUAUGUUAGCCGGGCGACGGUUGUCCCGGUUUAAGCAUGUAGGCUGGUUGUCCAGGCAAAUCCGGAUAAUCAAGGCUGAGGUGUGAUGACGAGGUACUACGGUGCUGAAGUAACAAAUGCCCUGCUUCCAGGAAAAGCCUCUAAGCAUCAGGUAACAUCAAAUCGUACCCCAAACCGACACAGGUGGUCAGGUAGAGAAUACCAAGGCGCUUGAGAGAACUCGGGUGAAGGAACUAGGCAAAAUGGUGCCGUAACUUCGGGAGAAGGCACGCUGGUGUGUAGGUGAAGUCCCUGCGGAUGGAGCUGAGACCAGUCGAAGAUACCAGCUGGCUGCAACUGUUUAUUAAAAACACAGCACUGUGCAAACACGAAAGUGGACGUAUACGGUGUGACGCCUGCCCGGUGCCGGAAGGUUAAUUGAUGGGGUUAUCCGUAAGGAGAAGCUCUUGAUCGAAGCCCCGGUAAACGGCGGCCGUAACUAUAACGGUCCUAAGGUAGCGAAAUUCCUUGUCGGGUAAGUUCCGACCUGCACGAAUGGCGUAAUGAUGGCCAGGCUGUCUCCACCCGAGACUCAGUGAAAUUGAACUCGCUGUGAAGAUGCAGUGUACCCGCGGCAAGACGGAAAGACCCCGUGAACCUUUACUAUAGCUUGACACUGAACAUUGAGCCUUGAUGUGUAGGAUAGGUGGGAGGCUUUGAAGCGUGGACGCCAGUCUGCGUGGAGCCAACCUUGAAAUACCACCCUUUAAUGUUUGAUGUUCUAACGUUGGCCCCUUACCGGGGUUGCGGACAGUGUCUGGUGGGUAGUUUGACUGGGGCGGUCUCCUCCCAAAGCGUAACGGAGGAGCACGAAGGUUAGCUAAUCCUGGUCGGACAUCAGGAGGUUAGUGCAAUGGCAUAAGCUAGCUUGACUGCGAGCGUGACGGCGCGAGCAGGUGCGAAAGCAGGUCAUAGUGAUCCGGUGGUUCUGAAUGGAAGGGCCAUCGCUCAACGGAUAAAAGGUACUCCGGGGAUAACAGGCUGAUACCGCCCAAGAGUUCAUAUCGACGGCGGUGUUUGGCACCUCGAUGUCGGCUCAUCACAUCCUGGGGCUGAAGUAGGUCCCAAGGGUAUGGCUGUUCGCCAUUUAAAGUGGUACGCGAGCUGGGUUUAGAACGUCGUGAGACAGUUCGGUCCCUAUCUGCCGUGGGCGCUGGAGAAUUGAGGGGGGCUGCUCCUAGUACGAGAGGACCGGAGUGGACGCAUCACUGGUGUUCGGGUUGUCAUGCCAAUGGCACUGCCCGGUAGCUAAAUGCGGAAGAGAUAAGUGCUGAAAGCAUCUAAGCACGAAACUUGCCCCGAGAUGAGUUCUCCCUGAGACUUUAAGUCUCCUGAAGGAACGUUGAAGACGACGACGUUGAUAGGCCGGGUGUGUAAGCGCAGCGAUGCGUUGAGCUAACCGGUACUAAUGAACCGUGAGGCUUAACCUUACAACGCCGAAG
rnacentral:rRNA from 1 species